rnacentral:misc_RNA from 1 species
UUUUGGUGGCUGCUACUACUUUACAUUGUCUUUUGUGUGGUCAACUUGGGAACAGCUGAUCGAGACGCGCAAUAACAAAGACUGAAAAAUCGCCGAGGGGGGUUGUCUUCAUCAUAUCCUCAUGAUUAGUUUGCUGCCAUGGUUGGCAAUCCUAAGUCAAUCGUGAAAACCUUGCACAAUGAUCUGGGCAAAGUCUUCUCUGAUGAUGAGGCUCCCAUCAACAAAAAGCUUCCCAGAGAGCUGCUACUGCGAGUAUUUUCAUUCCUGGAUGUUGUGUCUUUGUGCCGCUGUGCACAAGUCAGCCGUGAAUGGCACUCAUUGGCUCUGGAUGGUGCUAACUGGCAGCGCAUUGAUCUCUUCAAUUUCCAAACUGAUAUUGAAGGCCUGGUGGUGGAGCAGAUUGGACGCCGCUGCGGAGGCUUCCUUAAAGAGCUUUCACUCCGUGGCUGUCAGUCGGUCACAGACGGGCCUCUAACCACCAUCACUGCGCUUUGCAAUAACAUUGAACGACUCAAUCUCACCAACUGCAAGAACAUCACAGACAUAACAUGCGGGGCUUUGUCCCGUCACUGUCCCAGACUGCUUCGUCUGGAGCUUGAGUCGUGUGCCAAAAUUACUGAUCAGUCCCUACAGCAGCUCGGUCUUGGAUGCCCUCACCUCAUGUACCUGAACAUUGCUUGGUGCUGCGAGAUCACCAGCGCAGGAGUUGAGACCGUGGCCAAAGGCUGCCCAGAGCUCGAAGUGUUUGUAGCUAAAGGCGUCAAAGAACUUCGUGAUCAAGCGUUACUGCAGCUCGCCCACAACUGCCCUAAACUGCGACACAUAAACCUACACUCAUGCGUGCACAUAACAGACGCGAGCGUGACGGUGUUGGCAGAGAAGUGUCCAGGGCUACGGUACUUAUGUCUAAGCAAUUGUUCGGCCCUCACUGACGCCAGCCUACAGACCCUCGCCCUCUACAACCACAAACUCGAGACGCUCGAGGUCGCCAACUGCGCACAGUUCACCGACAACGGCUUUCAGGCUCUCGCCAGAUCGUGCCGGAUGCUGGAGCGCAUUGACCUGGAGGACUGCCUGCUCAUUACAGACGCUACGCUCAGCCACCUCGCCAUGGGCUGUCCUCGCCUCGAGAAACUGUCGCUGUCGCACUGCGAGCUCAUAACGGACGAGGGCAUCCGGCACCUCGGGAGCGCGGCGUGCAGCACUGAGCAGCUCUCUGUGCUGGAGCUCGACAACUGCCCCCUCAUCACGGACGCUUCCCUCGACCACCUGCUCGCCUGCCACAACCUACACAGAAUAGAGCUCUACGACUGCCAGCAGAUCACGCGUGCCGGCAUACGUAGGCUCAAGACGCACCUGCCGAACAUCAAAGUGCAGGCGUACUUCGCUCCCCAGACGCCCCCUGUACCGGAGAACACGCCGCACCGCCUGCACCGCUGCUGCACCAUACUAUGAUCGCGGUACUUGGGAACACCAGACUAUGAUCGCGGUACUUGGGAGCACCAUACUAUGAUCGCGUUUCUCGGGCACCUCAUCGUGGUUGUGGGGGACGAACUCCGCCCCUGCCUCAGUCCUCAGCCAGCAUCACGACCCUUCACCAUCUUUUUGUCCUCAAAGCGUCACCACACCGCAUCACUUGCCCGCCAUCGUAUCCGCGAUCUGAAUAAUCUCGAAACCUUUGCAUAAAUUGCUUGAAUCUCGGGCGACUCUCGCUCAUUGCCAUGCAUCACUAUUGCUACAUCGAAUGUCGUGCACGUGUCGCAUACAUCAGGAUGAUGAACGUUGAUCUAGCAGUGUGCUGUUGAUAGCAUCCUACCAGCAUAGCCAUGACAUCAUUGCCGCACACUUCCAUCCAUAAACUGUCUGCUGUCGCUGUUCUUGAAGACCCGAGUUCAUCACUUUAGGUUACCAGUUUCGUUCCGUCGCUGCUUGUGAUGGAUGCCUUCGUUUUGCACGUUUUAUUGUAUUAUUACCUAAAUCAUUACAUGUAUCGUCAUCAUGUAUGUUUCUCGCGAUGUCGUAGCAGAGAUCAUGGCCGUUACCGAUAUACGAAUCCGUAUUUCCAACUGCUCGUGCUCUCGACGACUGACUCGGCGUUUUCGAUCCUUACUUAUGUCGGUUGUUUUAUUAAUUUGUGUAACCUUGUCAUGUUUUAUUCAUUGUUUAUAAGACGAAUCUUCAUCCCGUGAGGAAUGAACAUUAAUCACGUUAUUGUCAAUUUGUAAUGACAAUAUGAUCUUUACAUGUAAUUUUCGUUCUAGCGAUGACGUACAGUCCCACUAUCGCCCACCAUUACACAGUUCAUGACUCGCCUCACUAUCACUCACCAUUACACAGUUCAUGUCUCGCUUCACUAUCACUCACCAUUACACAGUUCAUGACACACCUCACUAUCACUCGCUAUUAGAUAGUCUAGCAGUUCACAAUCACUUCCUCUCUGCCGCUGUGCAGAGCGUCGUUGUUUCGCCUCACCCUCCUAGGCGAUGCUAUGGUCUGCCGUGUUCUGGUCUGUACUCUUCUGUGAUCUAUUUGGUUAUAAUUUUUCUUGUGCUGCUAGAGUGCUCUGCAUUUAAUUUGUAUUAAGAUACAAGUCUUGUUCUAUCAUGCCUCCUUGUAGGGAUCACUGGAAUAUUGAAGUUGAUUGCGUAGUGCGUGCAAAUGUACGUGGAGCUUUACCUUAGUUAUAGGCAUGAAUAAAAAAUAAGCAUAGCUUGUGCCCUGUAUCAUGGCUCGAAUGACUUUACUCGUUGUACAGCGGCAACCUCUCACGUACUUCAUCCAAUUUUUCAUCGUCUUAUAGCUACUGCUGAUCUUACGAGCUUUUCUCCGCAUUCUAAUGCUUUGUCCACGGAGCAAAAUUUUGUGUCAUUCAGCUCCGUUGUCUCUUUGGUUUUCACGGCAUUAUCAUUUUAUUAUUAUGUAAUAAGUAUUGUAUUUCCAUUAGCUUUACGUUUAAUUAAUAAAUGUGUGUUUUAUUUUAGAUGCUCACUCAGGUUAGGAUGUUCUUGUGCUAUCGACGAGCUGAUUAGAGAAGUAAUGACGAAGCAAUGUUAUAACUUCCUACCUUUUGACAUUUUACAGAAAUGCAUUUCUUCACAUUUUGCCAGAUAUUGUGGAAUUCCUUGUUAAUGUUCACCCCUGGUUAUGUGUAGUUCCUCAUAGUCAUCUCCUGGAAAUAUGCAUACAAUAUCGCUUCCGUCUAAGUUAUCAUUAACAUCAUUGGGAUAGAUGACUACGCCAGAGCAUCUGCCUUCGUACAUAUUCGAUAGACCGUUCACCGUUUUCUGGGGGUGCAUAUUACUUUCGUUAAAGUGUUCUAGAAGGUUUAAAUUCUGUCAGUCUAGGAAUAGAUAUGUCAUACUCGUUGUUAUUUACUUCAUAUUAAGUACUAACUCUGCGAACGUCUGUGUGAAAUUUACACCUGUAGAAAAUUGUUCCACGUUCACUUCGUCUAUAGUUUCUAUUCUUUCAAUAGCUAUUGCUGCUGGAAUUGUCACGCAUUAGAAUUCUCAAGCGAUCUUCCAAUUGAAUCUGAAGGUAAUAGUGUUUUUACGAUUGCAUUAUCACCUUAGUCGUAAGUUAGGGAGCGUAUUUACUUUUAUUAAUUGUAGGCGUAUGAGUUAAUUAUGAGUGGAUAGCUGCGUGUUACUGUAAUCGCUGCAAUGCUACUGCCUGUGUUAAUUGUUACUCGUGCACUAACUCUCGCGUGAAUGUCAUGCGCCCUCUUGACUACAACGGCAGUUUAGGAUCGGCUUAACUCGUAGCUUUGUAUAACUGCGCUAUAGGCUGGCAAGCCUACACAUCAUAUUUUCAUUCAUAUAUCUGGUCGCUCUUAGCACUCCUGAGUAUUGCUGUUUAAAAUACGCAAGGAAUGGGAAUAUGUACGUGUCGCAAUGGUCAAGAAAAACUCGAUCCUUAUUCUUGUCAACCAGAAAUGAUUUACUUCUCGCUGCGUCCGAAGACUAUUUUAGUCGAGCUCUCGACGCUCAUUUUUAAGAUGGAUGAGUUUUUUCAAGCCUUGCUUCUACCGCGUGAUCACUAGGUGUCUUUGGCCUUCGGUUUUUGAUUUUUCAUUAAUACUUGAGUGCUCCACUAGAUAAUUGUGAAAUUUUAAGCUAUACUUUGCUGGCUCAUGAGGUGUGCUUGCCUUGUUAUUUGGCUUGGAUGUUCUACGGAACUGGCCGUGAUCUUCGCUGAACAUGUACAUACAUCCUUGGUUAAUAUGAAUCAAGCGACUGUCCAUUUCUAUGCCGUGAAUUUCUUGACUUGUCCCGUUCACCAACUUUAUGUGACUAAUUUGUGUGUGAAUGAUAGCGUAGUGUAAGUAUAUAAAUGCAUAUAUUUAUUUUGUCUAGCUCCAGCGAACAACGGUUCUUAAGAUACUCGAAAG